AAAUCGGUAAUGAUUUAUUCAAAUAUUUGUCCUAACACCUUACAAGGAUAAAAUAUUGUGAGAGAAAUGCUAAUAUUUCGUUGUGUUCAUUACAAUUUUAAAGGAUUAAUUACAACAGAGCCUUGUGACAGUAGAAUGCACAGACACACGAAACGAUACAGGCGAGAACGGCGGUAAUAAAAAUACCGACGUACAAUAUGUCUACACAUCUUGAGUUCCGGGUACGAUUCUUGUGCGAAGGCAGACUACGAUAAUCCUCUGUUAGCAGACUUUCUUUAUCAUGCAAACAAACACCCUUGAUAGUGUCCAUAUUUGUUUAUCAAAUUUACAGUAUUUAAUGGAGUACGUAAACUGAUUACAAAUUCGUAGAAAAUA
rnacentral:lncRNA from 1 species